AGUCAAGUAAUUAAGUGCAUGUGGUGGAUGCCUUGGCAGUCAGAGGCGAAGAAAGACGUGAUAGCCUGCGAAAAGCUCCGGGGAGGCGGCAAAUAUCCUUUGAUCCGGAGAUWUCUGAAUGGGGGAACCCACCUACCUUAAGGUAGGUAUUGCAACAUGAAUACAUAGUGUUGCAAGGCGAACGMGGGGAAGUGAAACAUCUCAGUACCCKUAGGAAAAGAAAUCAAUUGAGAUUCCCUCAGUAGCGGCGAGCGAAAGGGGAAAGCCCAUUAAGUUAUGUGUGUUUUAGUGGAAUGCUCUGGGAAGUGCAACCAUAGUGGGUGAUAGUCCUGUACACGAAAGGGCACACAUAAUGAUGACGAGUAGGGCGAGGCACGUGAAACCUUGUCUGAAUAUGGGGGGACCAUCCUCCAAGGCUAAAUACUCCUGACUGACCGAUAGUGAACCAGUACCGUGAGGGAAAGGCGAAAAGAACCCCUGUGAGGGGAGUGAAAUAGAUCCUGAAACCGCAUGCAUACAAGC
rnacentral:ncRNA from 1 species